rfam:Oryza nivara chromosome 1, whole genome shotgun sequence.
AAAAAAACAAACCUUUAAUUUCCGUGUCUAAUGUUUGACCGUCCAUCUUAUUUGAAAAAAUUAUGAAAAAAAUUAAAAAGACAAGUCACGUAUAAAAUAUUAAUCAAUGUUUUGUCAUCUAACAAUAAUAAAAAUACGAAUUAUAAAAAAUUUCAUAUAAGACAAACAGUUAAAGUUAGACACAGAAACCUAGGAUUUGCCUUUUU